CUGGCGGCGUGCCUAACACAUGCAAGUCGAACGAGAUCCAUAAUUGAAGCUCGGCAGAUUUAGGUAAGAUCGAGUGGCGGACGGGUGAGUAACGCGUGGGUAACCUGCCUUACAGAGGGGGAUAACAGAGAGAAAUUUCUGCUAAUACCGCAUAAGCACACAGUACCGCAUGGUACAGGGUGAAAAGAUUUAUCACUGUAAGAUGGACCCGCGUCUGAUUAGCCAGUUGGCAGGGUAACGGCCUACCAAAGCGACGAUCAGUAGCCGACCUGAGAGGGUGAUCGGCCACAUUGGGACUGAGACACGGCCCAAACUCCUACGGGAGGCAGCAGUGGGGGAUAUUGCACAAUGGAGGAAACUCUGAUGCAAGCGACGCCGCGUGAGUGAAGAAGUAUUUCGGUAUGUAAAGCUCUAUCAGCAGGGAAGAUAAUGACAGUACCUGACUAAGAAGCCCCGGCUAACUACGUGCCAGCCGCGGC
rnacentral:rRNA from 1 species